GAUAAAAAGACUAAACCACCGGGAUAACGUGGGGUUAUCCAUGUUAUGUGAAGGGACCUGAUAUAUUUCGUAUGUAUAGGCCUAUUUUCUGAAUUGCAAAUCAACCAACUGCUGUGUAGUGAAUUCUUCAGCGAAAGUUGCAUGGAGACAGGCGCGAGAAGGCGCCAGAAGAGCUGAGCGAGAGCACGCGAAAUCAAAUAUACAUAAUAACAAUAAUAUACGACAAGUACGAAUGAGAGCGAUACGGAGAGGCAGCUCUUGUGCAGAGUUGGUAGAUGAAAAUGUAUGUAGCCUUCAUUACAUGCGCUCCACGUAACGUUCCUGAGCGAUGCCUUUUGGUCCCUAGCCCCUGCUAUAUGGUGAGAGCCUGACUUGACGAAGAAGGGCUCUGGCGUUCGUUCCCUACGCCACGUUACAUUCUGGCCAGAAACGUCGACUCUCUUGGGAUUUCAUCGUCUCCAUUGACAAAGAUGUUCGUGGCGGGGGCUCGGAGCAGUGUGAAUAACUACUACUGACGUAACUCACAAAAACAGUUGGACGUGACAUAUGAGUGCUGGAUGUAUUUCUAUCCUAAUUUACAAUUACAUGUGGAAUUGUUGUAUUCAUUUGAUGGGUAUAGACUGUAAGUCAUGUCCCUUUGAUGCACUUCUCAUAAGAUCUCAAAUGCUGAAAUAUCUUUUCAUUGGUUAUAAAUGUUUUUGCCCCGUU